GAUGGGGGGGUGGUCUCUCAGCCCAGAUUGCAAGAGGGUGCAGGCCAGGCCGAGGGACCCCACUGGUGCAUG
rnacentral:pre_miRNA from 1 species